UGAUGGUGCAGUUUGCAUUGAAAACAUUGGCACGGAGUAGAGUUGAUGUUUAAUGAACAUGCUGCUGUUGAGUGCUUACAUUAGAAAAUAGUGCAUAUUGUACAAAUACCACGCACAAGCAAACAAAAAACUAGCACUUCAGCAAAAAUGAAGCAAAGUGGACUUAUUUGGUAUUGUACAAAUACAUUAGCAUACAAAUUUUAAAAUCAAAAAAUUUAAAAAAUCACAUGUAAGCAUUGAAACAAACCCCAUCCCAUAUAUAAGAAACAGAUUUCCUUUACUUCUCCCCCCUAUUAAAAUGUUUAUACAAUAUUUGAAUGCUGCCAUAAUCACAUUUGGGGGAGCUGGUAAAGAUCAUAUUGAUUGUAGGUUCAAUUUCUUUGAUCCUUUAUUGUUUUCUUUCCCAGCAGGAAGAAGUCAAAUUGAAUAUAAUAUCAAAGAGAAAGAGUAAAGAGUUUUGGAACUAUCUAUGUAAGUGUAGGAGUUUUAUUGCAAGAAAAUGAGGCUGUCUUAUUGUUAUAUUCUUGAACAGUUUUCUAGUGUUUUUCAAUCAGAAAUCUACUAUGUUUCUAUGUGUUAAAAAUAACAUUGAUAUAGAUAUGUUAAUAAAAAUAUUUAUAUUUUAUUAGAUGGUCAAACAUUAAAUUUGUUAGCUCCUGAUUUGAAUCAGAGCUAAUGGGAAUGCCAUCAUCUCAUUGUGGAACUAGUUACCAUGGAUAGGGUUCAACUUAAAAUCAUACAGGAUACAAAGAGAUUGAUGGUAAUGAAAUUGCUGAUAGACUGGUCAAGAAAGAAACUUGUCUCUUUAUUGGGAUUGAGGUUGCCCUGGGCAUCACAUCUGAUGCAUUUGGGUAAGUUGUCAGAGUUAGGUAUACUAUUUCUCUCUUAUUGGAGGUCCAGUAUUGGAGUAAGGCAAACAAAAACUUUUAUUCUAAGUCUUUCUUUAUAGAGGAAUGCAAUUUGAGAAUUUGAGGAAUGCAGAGAAUUUUGAGAAUGGUUGCAUUGAAUGAAAAUGAAGUAAGGAUUGUUAUAGGACAUUGUCGUCAUAAGACAUCUUCAUUUAAUAUAAGUUGAUAUUCCCAUUUCUAGAUGGUGUCAAUGAAAUGAAACUUUUCUAUGUAUUGUGUUAAUAUGUAGCUUUUCAGAGUUAAGAUAUGAUCUAGGAUUGAAUUUUCCUGCGUUGAAAAAUCUUUUAUGAUUGCAUUAAAAAAGAUAGUCUGUUGUAUGAGAGAAUUUCAUAUGAGCUGAUUCUGUUAGGGGAUGCACAAUAGAUCAUUAAAUGGUUGCAGUGCUGGGAUUAUUUUUUGUCUGAUUUCUAAUUCAACUUAUACAGAAUGUAACAUAAUGAAAAUAAUAUAAAUGAUAUAUAAAAAACAAGAACAUAAAAUUUUAACUUAAAAUUUGUAAGAUUACAUACUUUUAUAUACACUUUAAAAUAUUAAUAUA
rnacentral:lncRNA from 1 species